rnacentral:misc_RNA from 1 species
GAUGAAGAACGCAGCGAAAUGCGAUAAGUAAUGUGAAUUGCAGAAUUCAGUGAAUCAUCGAAUCUUUGAACGCAUCUUGCGCUCCUUGGUAUUCUGAGGAGCAUGCCUGUUUGAGUGUCAUUAAAUUCUCAACUACACUGACUUUGAAUUGGUGUGGCUUGGAUUUGGGGGGAAAAUUGUUGUGGGCUUUUUGUAUAGUCUGUUCCCCUGAAAUUGAUUAGCGGUACCUUUGUGGAACUGUCUACAGGUGUGAUAAUUAUCUACAUCUUAGACAUCUGCUGGAAUGCUGCUUUCUAAACCUUACUUGUAUUGACAAUCUUGACCUCAAAUCAGGUAGGACUACCCGCUGAACUUAAGCAUAUCAAUAAGCGGAGGA